rnacentral:lncRNA from 1 species
CGAAAUCAAAUCGUAUGGCAGCAUGGAAAGGAAUUAAGGGGCAAUUUAAUUGUACAGCUGUAACCUUCCGUUCCCUUCCAAAUCAUCGAUUUUGAUAUUGUCUUUCCUUUCUCUAAGACUUUAGCGACGCACGCGGGAUUACAUAUCCCUUCCAAUCACAUAUUAAUCUGGCCCUUUUUCUUGCCACUUCAAGACUUGCGAAAGUCUUCCAAAAGCAAGUCCAUCAUCUCCGUUGAACCAUUCUAUAAAUCUUCAAGUGCAUCGACUUUAACGACACCGCCAGAGUACUCCGUCGAAACCGCUCUCGUUCGCCAGAGCUUCUCUCCGUCGCCGUUAGAUUCGCCAUCCGAGUUCCUUGACCCGUUCCGUUGCAACCACAGUCACUGCCACACCUUCCUAAUCGGACCGCCGCCGUAAAUCACCGCCGUACCUUUAGCAUUCCGUUCGAGUCCGUCUGAAUAAUCACAAGCCAGUCGCUCGCCGCCGUGCAUCACCACCACGUCUUCAUCUUAAACCGGCAUCGGUUGCUGUCCUAAUCCGUUCGGUUCACUCGUUAUUGAGGUUUCCGUGUUUGCUGAGGACGACUUGAUUUAUUUCUUUUUGUGUGGCUUUGCUAGACAUAAGUCACGUAGUCUGAUAUCUGUUUCUGAUCUGAUAUGUUUAUAAUAUUGUCUGGUAAUCCGGGAAAUGUUGGGAACUAGUGAUGUUGAGAGUAAAUGCAGU